AUAUGAAGCGCCCAUAUGAAUUCAAUCAGAACAGAAGUAGACUUCUUUCUUACCUUGCCAGGUGAACCCUGUCAUCAGAGAUUUCCCUCGCAUCCUGACAAAACCCAGCUGUGUUGGGUCUCAAAUAGGCUUUCACUUUCCUCUCCUCUGCAAACUGCCCCCUAAAUCCAUGUCUUUACAAAGACCUACAAAAUGAGCUGGGGUCAGAGCACAAGCCCAAACAUUUCCUCCAUAGACAAAUCAGGGAACAUAAUAACUCUUCCAAAACUUAAAGCCAGGCAUGGGAUUGUCAGAAAGCCCGUCAUAGCCUCUCUCGCAGGGACCACCAAAGCAGUAUCCUUGUCCCAAAGGCCGAAACCUCCUGCUAAGCCCAGAUCAGAGAUGCCUUUAUCAGCAGGUGGAUCUUACAAACCUUGCACACUUGCUCAGCAGGUUUCAGGUGAGGAGACGAAAAACUUCAGCAAUCAACAGUCCACUUUCUUUGGAGGACAGAACCGGCUGGAUUCGGCCAGCUGUAAUGACAAUGAGGUGUCAGGCUCUGUGAAUUCAGCACAGAAUGGGCAUAAAAGAGCGCAGAGAGGAAAGAGUGAAACAUUCUGGGAGCCUCAUGAACAUCAAACUCUCUCCAAACACAGCAGCUCCCAGAGUCACACCAGCAGCGCUGGCUCAAGCACCAUCCAAAGUGUCAAAUCCACCUCUGAGCUGCUAAAUGAAGCCAGACUUAUUGCUGGACCUGAGCUGCCAGAUGAGGUUGACCAGCAGAGGUCGCCAAAUGAGACCUUAACAGACACAGUGAUGGGAAGUGGGCACAUAGAGGAGGAUAGUGGUGCUAUUGUACAUUUUAUGGAAAGAGAAGCUGGGCACAGUUGCAGCUCUGAUGAUAAGGGGCCAACUCAAAGAGACACCUCAGUACCAAAAGAGAAAUGUUCCCCAAGACUAAUGUGCCAUCCACCUGUGUCAUCUGGUGUCUACAAGAUGGCUGAGUCAGUUUUACAGAAGGAUUCUGAUAUUGGCUCUGAUGGUGGAGGACUCGAGGAUCUCUUAUCCCAGG
rnacentral:lncRNA from 1 species